CUGGGGGAGCGGGGCAGCGAGACGGGGGGGGGGUCGGCCCGGAGCCCCCCAGCUUCUCCCCGGGCCGCCCGAAGCCCGCCCCGGGCCGGGGGCGCCGCCCGCAGCCCCGCGCCCCUCUUUCCCCGGCUCGGCUGCUCGCUGCCGCACAAAGAGCGCCCUUCCCGCAGACAAAGCAUCCGCCCGAGGUGUCACCGGGGCUGGCCGGCCCUUCGCCCGGCUCUCCGGCUGCCGGUUUGGCCACCACAUAGCCCGGGAUAAAGCGCGGGGGGACUCGGACGCCGGCCCCGGUGCCGCUCCGCCAGGUUUGGGGGCACUGGGUCGGGCUGGAGGCGGCAGCAAGCGGCGUGGCCCGGCAGGUGCCUGGCUCUCGGCUCUCGGCUGCCGUCGCCUCCCAAAAACGCAGCCCCCGGCAGCCCGGCUCCCAGCAGCACAACGGAGUGAGCCUGGGCGCGAGCAGGACAGCGGUUUGUCCUGCCUUGGCUUUCGCUGCACCGAAAGCCGGUGCCUUGCUCCUGCCGGCGGACAGGGACACAAUUGGAGUGUGUAUCCCCUACCCUCAUCUCCCGUAGUUCUGUUAAUUCAGGGAUUCAGCAGCGUGUAGGCUCGCUAGGCAUUUUCCUCCAGCCCCUGCAGAAGACUCGGUGAGAUACGCUGUACUGUGAAAUACCGUUUGUGUUGCAGAGGCAGAGCAGCUGGAAAAAGGAGAUCCGAGGCCGUCACCAUUUUGCAGAAGUCCCCGGGUGCUCACCGUGUGCACUGGGACCAGCCCGGAUCGAUCACAGAGGAGCACAUACUCCCUGCAGCCCUGCUCCCCAGGGCUUUCCCUGCCACCAGACCCUACCUGCCCACACCACACACUAGGCUGGCAGUCAUGGAGCGACAGUGCUGUGAAACCCACCACCCACGUACAGGCUGCCGAGGGGCCAAAUUCCAUCAGGGCAGCCUCCAGGGAGGUCUCUAGAAAAGGCUUAUUUCCUUGGCUGGCUCCUGCAAAAGCACGGAGAGCUGCACUCCCUCUGAGAGCUGGCAGCGCAGGACACCAGGUACCGUGUGCCACAGGCAUGCCACUCAUUUUGCCUGACUCGAGUGCAGUAUCCAAGUUGAUUUGCAAAAGGUCCCUAAUCUGAAAAAAUAGAUAGAGGUAUCUGAUAUGUGCAGCUAAUCGAAGAGCUAUCUCCUCUAAACAGACUGGUUUAAACUAAUUACACGAUGCAGCGCAUGCUGCCACCUACGCCUUCUGAUUCAGGUUUCUGGUGUACUGCAGCUUUGGAUUCCUAGGCAUCCUUUGCUGAAGGCAGCUAGCAUUUUGUGAGGCUACACGAGGGACCGCAAACACAGGCGGCUGUGGCUGCACCAGGGAACCAGGCAAAACAUUUCUCACCGGCACAGGCACUUGUUGAGUUGUGGCGAGGAUGCCUCGAUGCUGACCAAGAACCGGCAGUCACACCAGUGAAAUGAAAGUAGUGGCUGGAGCCACAUCGUGCUGAGGAUCCUGCCAGCACAGCUGUACCACUGACAGCAGCGGAACAUUUUGCUCAAGUUCUCUAGAGGAAUCAAAGCCUGUAUUUUCUGUCUCUGGCUCUCUCUUGUUCUGUUGUUCCAUGCUCUGUAAGAGAGAAGUCAGCCACACAGAGCACAUGGUUGCUCUCUGUGUUUGAAAAAAAAAAUGUUUGGGGGAAGAAAACCACAGCCAAAGCUGUUUUGAAGUCAGAAGCAUGUAAACAGUACCUGGAACUAAGUGGAAUAAUAAUAAUAAUUAGUCCUUUUGUGCCAUAAAUAUGUGCAUCACUGCCUGCUGUUUCAUUAUGAGACAGCACGACUUCUGAAAAUGUGCCUGAUGAAUAUUUGGGGGAACACUGCCUUCAGCUGCAGCAGCGUACAGCAGCUCAAAUGCCUCUGGCUCCUCCAGCUCUUAUGUAACCAAAAUCACAAGUUAGAGCCCAAAUUACAAAGCAUAAGCAUGUGUAUAAUGUUAAGAAUAUAAGUGGUGCCUUAAAUUGCCAUCCUUUUACUGUAGGUCUGGCUUUAAUCUGUUACUAAUUUUAGUUCUGCAGUUCUGUUGAUUUCAAUGUGUGGUGGUGCCAUUAAUAGUGGAAUCAAGCCUAACCCCUUAAAAACCCACCAUGAGAGCAUUAACCCAAACUUAAGGAAGACAGGCCAAAAUCACUGCGGUUACAGGUAGGUGUAGUUCAUAUGACUCAUAUACCAGAUCCAAAAUGUAUCCAGUAUUAAGAUACUGUAGAAAGCCACAAUAUAAUGUACCCACGACUGCUUUGCACAUCAGCCAGAGCUGCAGGUUUUUGCACACCUGGCCAAGACCCAGGUUAGCAGUGGUCUUCCUUUGUGCUCUGCCUCUUUCUGGAGCCUAUACUCCCCAUUCACACGCUGAUCUGCUUUCUGGAGUUUUAAGGUGUUGGGUGCUGAUACCGUGAGCGCCUCUUGUAUCUGUUUAAUCCAAUAACAUAACUCGUCUUUAAUCUCCACGUCUGGGUCACAGGUUUUAAAAAAGACACUGGGCCAAAUCCCCAGCUUGGCUAUAACGUGUGGAAAUCUACCGAGAAGGCACGGAAGUCAGAAGAGAUUUGCUGUAUCUGCACCCUGCAAAGGAGGUCUCAAGGGGCAGUGAUGUGAGUGCCUAAUUUCACAGAUGGAUGUGUAUUAACACAAGUCUGUGGCAGAGGUGGAGCAGAUUUCUGUCAGGACAAAAAUAAACUUCUUCUCAGCCUGUGCCUGCUAAAGGGAACACAACUCGGGACUACAGCAAGGCAAGAACAAGGAGCAGGUUUUGCAGAGAUCAGGAAGAUUUUGCAUAUAAAUAUUAAAAUAAAAAAGCAAAAAUUAUUCCAGGCACAAAGUCCAGCAGAAAUCUAAGGGGCAAGUGCAGAGCACUAUCUGUAAAGAAGAGCAUAGGUGAAAACAGCAGAAAGAUGCUCUGAAUAAGCUGACCACAUUAACAAGUCCCCAAACACAGAUUUCCUAUAUAAAGCUAUACAGGGGCAGCCUUCGGGUUUCCCCUGUAUGGGAAAGGACCGUGAGCCCAAAAAAAAAGGAGGCAGAUUUUUUGAGGGAUUUAAACAUCAUGAAGUGACUCUGGAUUGCAGGUUUUAAGCAUUACUAAAACAGGGAACAGAACUGUUGCUAUUGCUAUUACGUACCAGGAUAUUUCACUAAUCCGUGCAAUCCACUAAAUUGCUGUAGUUUUAGUCUGUGUUUAUUUUAGAUGAAAUUAUGGCCUGGACAGUUAAUUUUUUGUUAGUUUAUCCAUUUAAAUCAUAUACAAAUAAAAUACCAAACAGAAAUCAAAACGUGACCUGUGAUUUUGGUAUAUUUCCCAUCACGUGAACCUGCCAGUGUCGGAGCCAAUCCUCCCAGUUUAUCAGUCAAACCCAAAGAUAGCUAAAAACCACAGGAAUUCUUGAAAAGUAGCCCCGUUGGCUUUAAAGUCUAUUAAAAAUGUGAUUUUAAUACUACUGCUGGUGGCCUAUUUUGUUUAUGUUACAAACUGCCUAGCCAUUAUGGGAUUGCUUCCGCUGAUCGUUUCCCUACAUCAAGCUAAUUACAUAUUAAUUUGAGGCAUUUUGCACAUCUCAAAGGCUAGAGUGGGCCCUUUCCGAGCAGCAGGCGAGUUUAGAAAUGCCUGUUCCUUUACAGGAGCUGAUUCCUGUAGCGAGGGACAGACCCAGAGGAACCAAGCAGCCUGGGACUGAAGCACUCACACGGGUUUGUGGAAGAAGUUGAGUGUCUCAGGUUAACUGACAGUCAGCUACCUGGAAAUAAAAAGCUCUCAUGUACCCAAAGGUUUACACUAGGGUUUUCAAGAGCUCCUGAGCAAUUUCAAAUCCCUUAAAGGAAUGAAAGAUAGAAUGAAAACUAUAGGUAUUAUUAAAGAAUGUCUCCGAACAGAAAGCCAGCCAGUUUCAUAAAAAUGAGCUAGGAAGCAAUAACAGAUACUCUGUCUCCUGCUGGAUGCUGCAUGAACCGUAUGUUUUGUAUUUUUUAAGUCAUGCCAAAAACGAUUUUUUUCUUUGCUGUUGUCAUUGGGGAAAGACAGUGAAAGAGCUAUGCAUAAAAUGAGGUUAAAGUAAUCUAAUUAAAACAAAUAAACAAUGUGCUUUCAUCUUUAAUUCAUAACCAGUCAUUUGGGAUCUAACUUUAAAAAAAAAUAGAUAAAAAUUCAGAAAGGAUUUUGGAGGAUGACUGUUUCCCUUUAAGAUUAAUGAUAAACAUACUUGUGUAUUCAAGGGAGAAUAGAUCCAGUGUUAUGUAACAGGAUAAAGAAACAAAAUCCUUUUUCCUUAAAUUAAAAUAACCAGUACGUGUGUGGA